rnacentral:rRNA from 1 species
AACGAACGCUGGCGGCAGGCCUAAUACAUGCAAGUCGAGCGCUACCUUCGGGUGGAGCGGCGGACGGGUGAGUAACGCGUGGGAAUAUGCCCUUCUCUAAGGAAUAGCCAUUGGAAACGAUGAGUAAUACCUUAUACGCCCUUUUGGGGAAAGAUUUAUCGGAGAAGGAUUAGCCCGCGUUAGAUUAGGUAGUUGGUGGGGUAAUGGCCUACCAAGCCUACGAUCUAUAGCUGGUUUGAGAGGAUGAUCAGCCACACUGGGACUGAGACACGGCCCAGACUCCUACGGGAGGCAGCAGUAGGGAAUCUUAGACAAUGGGGGAAACCCUGAUCUAGCCAUGCCGCGUGUGUGAUGAAGGCCUUAGGGUUGUAAAGCACUUUCGCCAGGGAUGAUAAUGACAGUACCUGGUAAAGAAACCCCGGCUAACUCCGUGCCAGCCGCCGCCGUAACAC